UAGGGAAUCUUCGGCAAUGGGGGGAACCCUGACCGAGCAACGCCGCGUGAGUGAAGAAGGUUUUCGGAUCGUAAAGCUCUGUUGUUAAGGAAGAACGAGUGUGAGAAUGGAAAGUUCAUACUGUGACGGUACUUAACCAGAAAGGGACGGCUAACUACGUGCCAGCAGCCGCGGUAAUACGUAGGUCCCGAGCGUUGUCCGGAUUUAUUGGGCGUAAAGCGAGCGCAGGCGGUUAGAUAAGUCUGAAGUUAAAGGCAGUGGCUCAACCAUUGUAGGCUUUGGAAACUGUUUAACUUGAGUGCAGAAGGGGAGAGUGGAAUUCCAUGUGUAGCGGUGAAAUGCGUAGAUAUAUGGAGGAACACCGGUGGCGAAAGCGGCUCUCUGGUCUGUAACUGACGCGGAGGCUCGAAAGCGUGGGGAGCGAACAGG
rnacentral:rRNA from 1 species